CCCCAGACUCCUACGGGAGGCAGCAGUGGGGGAUAUUGCACAAUGGGGGGAACCCUGAUGCAGCGACGCCGCGUGGGUGAAGGAGUAUUUCGGUAUGUAAAGCCCUAUCGGCAGGGAAGAAGCAAGACGGUACCUGACUAAGAAGCCCCGGCUAACUACGUGCCAGCAGCCGCGGGAAUACGUAGGGGGCGAGCGUUAUCCGGAUUCACUGGGUGUAAAGGGAGCGUAGACGGCCAUGCAAGCCAGGGGUGAAAGCCCGCGGCCCAACCGCGGGACUGCAUUGGGAACUACCGGGCUGGAGUGCCGGAGAGGUAGGCGGAAUUCCUAGUGUAGCGGUGAAAUGCGUAGAUAUCAGGAGGAACACCGGCGGCGAAGGCGGCCUGCUGGACCGUGACUGACGUUGAGGCUCGAGAGCGUGGGGAGCAAACAGGAUUAGAUACCCGCGUAA
rnacentral:rRNA from 1 species